GAUGAACGCUGGCGGCGUGCCUAAUACAUGCAAGUCGAGCGAACGGACGAGAAGCUUGCUUCUCUGAUGUUAGCGGCGGACGGGUGAGUAACACGUGGAUAACCUACCUAUAAGACUGUGAUAACUUCGGGAAACCGGAGCUAAUACCGGAUAAUAUUUUGAACCGCAUGGUUCAAAAGUGAAAGACGGUCUUGCUGUCACUUAUAGAUGGAUCCGCGCUGCAUUAGCUAGUUGGUAAGGUAACGGCUUACCAAGGCAACGAUGCAUAGCCGACCUGAGAGGGUGAUCGGCCACACUGGAACUGAGACACGGUCCAGACUCCUACGGGAGGCAGCAGUAGGGAAUCUUGCGCAAUGGGCGAGAGCCUGACGGAGCAACGCCGCGUGAGUGAUGAAGGUCUUCGGAUCGUAAAACUCUGUUAUUAGGGAAGAACAUAUGUGUAAGUAACUGUGCACAUCUUGACGGUACCUAAUCAGAAAGCCACGGCUAACUACGUG
rnacentral:rRNA from 1 species